rnacentral:rRNA from 1 species
AGAACGAACGCUGGCGGCAUGCCUAACCACAUGCAAGUCGAACGAGACCUUCGGUCUAGUGGCGCACGGGUGCGUAACGCGUGGGAAUCUGCCCUUGGGUCCGGGAUAACAGUUGGAAACGACUGCUAAUACCGGAUGAUGACUUCGGUCCAAAGAUUUAUCGCCCAAGGAUGAGCCCGCGUAGGAUUAGCUUGUUGGUGAGGUAAAAGCUCACCAAGGCGACGAUCCUUAGCUGGUCUGAGAGGAUGAUCAGCCACACUGGGAC